rnacentral:rRNA from 1 species
AUUGAACGCUGGCGGCAGGCCUAACACAUGCAAGUCGAGCGGAUGAAGGGAGCUUGCUCCUGGAUUCAGCGGCGGACGGGUGAGUAAUGCCUAGGAAUCUGCCUGGUAGUGGGGGAUAACGUCCGGAAACGGGCGCUAAUACCGCAUACGUCCUGAGGGAGAAAGUGGGGGAUCUUCGGACCUCACGCUAUCCGAUGAGCCUAGGUCGGAUUAGCUAGUUGGUGGGGUAAAGGCCUACCAAGGCGACGAUCCGUAACUGGUCUGAGAGGAUGAUCAGUCACACUGGAACUGAGACACGGUCCAGACUCCUACGGGAGGCAGCAGUGGGGAAUAUUGGACAACGGGCGAAAGCCUGAUCCAGCCAUGCCGCGUGUGUGAAGAAGGUCUUCGGAUUGUAAAGCACUUUAAGUUGGGAGGAAGGGCAGUAAGUUAAUACCUUGCUGUUUUGACGUUACCAACAGAAUAAGCACCGGCUAACUUCGUG